rnacentral:rRNA from 1 species
UAGUGGCGGAGUCGGUUCACACUCUAGACGUAGUAAAAUCUUUAUCUCGCCUAUAGAUGAGCCGGCGCCUUGCCGUAAAACCCCUAMUCUUUCACAAGGUUGACCUCGGAUCAGGUAGGAAUACCCGCUGAACUUAAGCAUAUCAAUAAGCGGAGGAAAAGAAACCAACAGGGAUUGCCCUAGUAACGGCGAGUGAAGCGGCAACAGCUCAAAUUUGAAAUCUGGCCUUCGGGUCCGAGUUGUAAUUUGCAGAGGAUGCUUUGGGCGCGGUGCCUUCCGAGUUCCCUGGAACGGGACGCCUUAGAGGGUGAGAGCCCCGUACGGUUGGACACCAAGCCUCUGUAAAGCUCCUUCGACGAGUCGAGUAGUUUGGGAAUGCUGCUCUAAAUGGGAGGUAAAUUUCUUCUAAAGCUAAAUAUUGGCCAGAGACCGAUAGCGCACAAGUAGAGUGAUCGAAAGAUGAAAAGCACUUUGAAAAGAGGGUUAAAUAGCACGUGAAAUUGUUGAAAGGGAAGCGUUUGCGACCAGACCUUUUCCCAGCGGAUCAUCCGGUGUUCUCACCGGUGCACUUCGCUGGGUUGAGGCCAGCAUCGGUUUCCGCAGGGGGAUAAAAGCCUGGGGAACGUAGCUCCCUCGGGAGUGUUAUAGCCCCUCGCAUAAUACCCUUGCGGGGACCGAGGACCGCGCU